rnacentral:rRNA from 1 species
GUAAAAAAUGGGAUGGAAUGACAAAAAAAGCUAGAAAAAGCCAGAGACUGGUCGUUCUGGUCUAAGCAUUUAGGUUAACAUAUUGGCAAAUCCGUAUGUUGUUAAAACUGAGGUGUUAAAGAUAGUGAAAGUCCUCGGAUAAGUAACGAAGUUUUCGAUGCUAUGUUUGCAAGAAAAGUUUCUACUGUUAAUUUUUUACAACCCGUACCGAUAACGAACACACGUAGUCAGGAAGAGAAUUCUAAGGUGUGCGAGAUAACUGUUGCUAAGGAACUCUGCAAAAUGACCCCGUAAGUUCGCAAUAAGGGGAGCUUCUUUUAGAAGCCGCAGAUAAUUCAGCCAUGGGAACUGUUUACCAAAAACACAGCUCUCUGCUAAAUCGUAAGAUGACGUAUAGAGGGUGACACCUGCCCAAUGCUGCAAGAUUAAGAGGAAAUGUGAUACAGAACAAUGAAAAAACUUUUGUUGAGCAUUAAAUUUAAGUCUCAGUGAAUGGCGGCCGUAACUAUAACGGUCCUAAGGUAGCGAAAUUCCUUGUCAGGUAAAUUCUGACCCGCACGAAUGGUGUAAUCAUCAUGGCGCUGUCUCGGCAGCAGACUCGGUGAAAUCUUAAUACCUGUGAAGAUGCAGGUUACCCGCAACUAGACGGAAAGACCCCAUGAAGCUUUACUAAAACUUACUAUUGAAUUUCAAAUUUUUAUGUACAGGAUAUGUGGAAGAAUAUGAGAUAAUGGCGCUAGUUGUUAUUGAUUCGCCCUUGGGAUACCACUCUUAAAAAUUUGAAUUUCUAAUUUACCUCUAUCAUCUAGAAGAAAGACAGUAGUUGGUGGUUAGUUUAACUGGGGCGGUUGCCUCCUAAAAGGUAACGGAGGCGUCCAAAGGUAUUUUCAGCAUGGUUGGAAAUCAUGUUUUGAGCGCAAAGGUAUAAAAAUGCUUGACUGUGAGACCUACAAGUCGAACAGCGAAGAAAUUCGGGCUUAGUGAUCCGGCGAUUCUUUGUGGAAGGGUCGUCGCUCAACGAAUAAAAGCUACUCUGGGGAUAACAGGGUUAUCUUCCCCAAUAGUUCACAUAGACGGGAAGGUUUGCCACCUCGAUGUCGGCUCAUCGCAUCCUGGAGCUGUAGCCGGUUCCAAGGGUUUGGCUGUUCGCCAAUUAAAGCGGUACGCGAGCUGGGUUCAGAACGUCGUGAGACAGUUCGGUCCCUAUCUGUUGUGGGCGCAGGAAAAUUGAAAAAAUUUGUUCUUAGUACGAGAGGACCAGAAUGAACUCA